GCCUGCGCGAGCCCCCAGCUCCUUCAGGGCUGCGAGCUGCUCGACGAAUCGUCAGCGCCGCUGCGCCGCAGAAGCCCGGGAGGCCUUUCGCCCGAGGCGGGCUGCGGGCUGCGGGGGUCUGGUGCGGAGGGCCAACUUAUGGGAAUAACCUGGCUGUGGGCUUAAAAAUCGUAGUCAUUCAUUAUCACGGGCUUCUCUUUCUCGAAUACCUUUAACGUUUAUCGCCUUGUUAGUCUCCACAUCCACCUCCGUGAAAGUGAACUUGAACUGUGGCUGUGGCCUGGAUUCCGCAUUCAAACAUGACUGACUGACCUCUGGUUGUAGGGAUGUCUUGAAGGUGCUGAAGAACAAACACAGAGUUCAGAGGAUGGAAGAAACUGUUAUACCAUCUACAAUGAUUUGAAAUGCCAUUUGCAACCGCAGUUGACUGUGGGUUAUUGAAACCGCAGAAAGUGAAACUGGAUAACGAGAGACAGGAUCUUGCCAUGUUGCCCAGGCUGGAGUGCAGUAGCUGUUCAUAUGGGCGCACACUACAGCCUCAAACUCCUGGCUUCAAGCAAUCUUCACCUCAGCCUCUGGAGCAGCUGAAACUUCAGAAAAUUUGGAAAAUAUGGAAGAAAAAAAUUCAACCACAGACCGAGCACACAAAAACAAAUUCCUUGGGUUUCCUGUUUUUUGACUGAAUCUGUGAGAUAGAAGGCGAGAUCAGUAG